rnacentral:tRNA from 1 species
GUGGUGGCUCAGUGGUAGAGUGCCCACCUAGCAAGCAUAAGGCACUGAGUUCAGUCCUCAGCACCACA